ACCAAAUGAAACCUCCAAAUGGGAAGGAAUUCCACAACUUGGGAGCAGCCACAGAGAAGGCUCUCUCCUGUGCUCUCCUUUUAAAAUCCAGCGAUAAUGGUGAGACUGAGAGAAAGACUCUUCUUAGGACCUUAAAUCUCAGAUUAGGCUGUGAUACUAAGGUGAAGAUCAGAAAAUACACCUUGGACUGCAUUGAAUUUUCAAGGAGCUAUCCAGCUGCUGGACCUUCUUCUUGAUAGAUGUUUGGCAUCAGAAGCAACUGCAAGAAAAGUGGUCAUAAAAUAUAGAGUGGACUUGCUAGCUUAUGACAACAGGCUCAGUGUGAUUAUACCCAUUCAUCGUAACAAUUUUGCACUUCUUAUCAUUAAAUGAAAUUAUGAACACACGAUUGCAAUAUUCCAUACACAUAGUACAUUGUGAAGAACUCAAAAGAAGUACAAAUCCUUCUCUGUUCUCUCCACCCUGGAGCCACUUCUUGCCUUUUUGAAUGCUUGGUAAGCGAAAUGGCAUGGUGGCCAAGCAAGUCCGUGCCCCUGAUAUAGCUUUGGUGAUUUCUCCUCUCUGCAGAAUAUCCAAUUUAUCCAUGGGUCAGAUUAAAAUCAAUAACUGUAGCCCCAAAAACUGCCCUCAAUAUACAUGAGGUCGAUGCAUACAUGAGUAUAUAUAGUGCUAAUUUUUAAUAUGAGACAAUUUAAUAUGACACAUGUGAGGUGUACUUCCAAAAGCCUAUGAUCCUCCCCAUAUAAUUAUACUCACAUGAGCAGUAAGUUAUAGGAGCCACGAUGGCACAAUGGUUUAAACCCUUGUGCCAGCCAGUUUUCUCAUACCAGAAGCUACUUGCAGUAUGUUUGCUUCUGACACAAUAAAAAAGUAAUUUAUAGAAACAAUCUGUGUCCACUAUCAAAUAUGAGAUAGAUAUGAUACAGAACUUUAAAUCUUCCCCAUGAAGCUCCAUGUAACAAUAUGAAAAAGUCAAUAUCUGUUUUUUCCCCACUGGCUUCCUUUUCACUCUUAUUUAUCAUAGAAUUUGAGACAAAUUAUAAACAAUUGAACACCAUUACUUUAAUACAAAGAAAUAGUUAAAUGGGAUUAAAAUGGGAUUAAAAGCAAAUGCAAGUUAAAACUGCUUUAAAUAAUGUGGCAUUAUUCCCUUUGUAGUUAAUGUUAUGUAUUAAAUAUGGGAUGGGAGAAAUCCCUCAGUCUCAUUACAUUUCCCUAAAUUCAAUUUCCCUUUCUUAGAUCAUUUCAGGUUUCCAAUGUACAAGGUUUCCUUCAUUGACUAAAGCAUGUUUGUUCAUAAUUUUAAAGUUACAUGAAUCCUUACCUGGUUGCAUUUUUAAAUGAAUAUUUUGUUAUAUGCUCAGGUUUUUUUUUAUUUGAAAUACCCCACAAGUCUUGCAAAAGUGCAGAUUCUGGAUGAAAA
rnacentral:lncRNA from 11 species